rnacentral:rRNA from 1 species
UACAGAGGUCUCAAGCGUUGUUCGGAUUCAUUGGGCGUAAAGGGAGCGUAGGCGGCGCGGUAAGUCGGAUGUGAAAUCUCGGGGCUUAACUCCGAAACUGCAUUCGAUACUGCCGUGCUUGAGGACUGGAGAGGAGACUGGAAUUUACGGUGUAGCGGUGAAAUGCGUAGAUAUCGUAAGGAAGACCAGUGGCGAAGGCGGGUCUCUGGACAGUUCCUGACGCUGAGGCACGAAGGCCAGGGGAGCAAACGGG